CGAAAUAACUAUAGGAGGUCCAGCCUGCCCAGUGACAAAGUUAAACGGCCGCGGUACCCUAACCGUGCGAAGGUAGCGCAAUCACUUGUUCUUUAAAUGAGGACUAGUAUGAAUGGCAUCACGAGGGUUAUACUGUCUCCCUCUUUCAAUCAGUGAAACUGAUCUUCCCGUGAAGAAGCGGGAAUACAUCUAUAAGACGAGAAGACCCCAUGGAGCUUAAAACUCAGUAUCAACUACUAUACUAAUUUAUCCUCUUAAUUAAGCAGAUCUGACUACUAGUUUUCGGUUGGGGUGACCGCGGAGCAAAACAAAACCUCCACGAUGAAAGGAACUAACCUCCUAAUCAAAGAGCUACCUCUCUAAGAAUCAACAAAUUGACAUUUAUUGAUCCAACUUUUUUGAUCAACGAACCAAGUUACCCUGGGGAUAACAGCGCAAUCCAUUUCAAGAGCCCCUAUCGACAAAUGGGUUUACGACCUCGAUGUUGGAUCAGGGUAUCCCAGUGGUGCAGCCGCUACUAAAGGUUCGUUUGUUCAACGAUUAAAACCCUACGUGAUCUGAGUCAGAC
rnacentral:rRNA from 1 species